UACAGAGGUCUCAAGCGUUGUUCGGAUUCAUUGGGCGUAAAGGGUGCGUAGGUGGCGGGGUAAGUCAGGGGGGAAAUCUCGGGGCUCAACCCCGAAACUGCACUUGAUACUGCCUUGCUCGAGUACUGGAGAGGAGAUUGGAAUUUACGGUGUAGCAGUGAAAUGCGUAGAUAUCGUAAGGAAGACCAGUGGCGAAGGCGAAUCUCUGGACAGUUACUGACACUGAGGCACGAAGGCCAGGGGAGCAAACGGG
rnacentral:rRNA from 1 species